rnacentral:rRNA from 1 species
GACGUAGGGGCCGAGCGUUGUCCGGAUUCAUUGGGCGUAAAGAGCUCGUAGGCGGUCGCGUAAGUCGGGUGUGAAAUCUCCGGGCUCAACCCGGAGGGGCCACCCGAUACUGCUCGACUUGAGUCCGGUAGGGGAGUGGUGAAUUCCUCGUGUAGCGGUGAAAUGCGCAGAUAUCAGGAGGCACACCGGUGGCGAAGGCGGCACUCUGGGCCGGUCCUGACGCUGAGGACCGAAAGCGUGGGGAGCAAACAGG